rnacentral:ribozyme from 1 species
CCCUACCGUUGCUGCUACCUCGACUUGGUGGUUGGGCUUGUUUAUUGUGAUGAACUAAUCGAGCUAUACUGGCUGGAGAAAUCGUUCCUCAAGGUCUUACCAUACCAGACAGGUCGGUUGAAGAGCGGUAAGACUAAAAGCAGC